rnacentral:rRNA from 2 species
UUAAAUUGAAGAGUUUGAUCAUGGCUCAGAUUGAACGCUGGCGGCAGGCCUAACACAUGCAAGUCGAACGGUAACAGGAAGAAGCUUGCUUCUUUGCUGACGAGUGGCGGACGGGUGAGUAAUGUCUGGGAAACUGCCUGAUGGAGGGGGAUAACUACUG